rnacentral:rRNA from 1 species
CGCUGGCGGCAAGCUUAACACAUGCAAGUCGAACGGACCGUACGCGCAGCUUGCUGCGUGUAUGGUUAGUGGCAGACGGGUGAGUAAUGCAUAGGAAUCUGCCUAGUAGUAUAGGAUAGCCACUAGAAAUGGUGGGUAAUACUGUAUAAUCCCUGCGGGGGAAAGAUUUAUCGCUACUAGAUGAGCCUAUGUCAGAUUAGCUAGUUGGUGGGGUAAUGGCCCACCAAGGCUGUGAUCUGUAGCUGGUCUGAGAGGAUGAUCAGCCACACUGGAACUGAGACACGGUCCAGACUCCUACGGGAGGCAGCAGUGGGGAAUAUUGGACAAUGGGCGCAAGCCUGAUCCAGCUAUGCCGCGUGAGUGAGGAAGGCCUUAGGGUUGUAAAACUCUUUCAGUAGGGAAGAUAAUGACGGUACCUACAGAAAAAGUCCCGGCAAACUC